GUGGGGAAUAUUGGACAAUGGGCGCAAGCCUGAUCCAGCCAUGCCGCGUGAGUGAUGAAGGCCUUAGGGUUGUAAAGCUCUUUCACCGGUGAAGAUAAUGACGGUAACCGGAGAAGAAGCCCCGGCUAACUUCGUGCCAGCAGCCGCGGUAAUACGAAGGGGGCUAGCGUUGUUCGGAAUUACUGGGCGUAAAGCGCACGUAGGCGGAUAUUUAAGUCAGGGGUGAAAUCCCAGAGCUCAACUCUGGAACUGCCUUUGAUACUGGGUAUCUCGAGUAUGGAAGAGGUAAGUGGAAUUCCGAGUGUAGAGGUGAAAUUCGUAGAUAUUCGGAGGAACACCAGUGGCGAAGGCGGCUUACUGGUCCAUUAAUGACGCUGAGGUGCGAAAGCGUGGGGAGCAAACAGGAUUAGAAACCCUUGUAGUCC
rnacentral:rRNA from 1 species